AUUGAACGCUGGCGGCAGGCCUAACACAUGCAAGUCGGACGGUAGCACAGAGGAGCUUGCUCCUCGGGUGACGAGUGGCGGACGGGUGAGUAAUGUCUGGGGAUCUGCCCGAUAGAGGGGGAUAACCACUGGAAACGGUGGCUAAUACCGCAUAACGUCGCAAGACCAAAGAGGGGGACCUUCGGGCCUCUCACUAUCGGAUGAACCCAGAUGGGAUUAGCUAGUAGGCGGGGUAAUGGCCCACCUAGGCGACGAUCCCUAGCUGGUCUGAGAGGAGGACCGGCCACACUAGAACUGGGACACGGGCCAGACUCCGACGGGAGGCAGCAGUGGGGAAUAUAGCACGAUGGGCGCAAGCCUGAUGCGGCCAUGCCGCGUGUAUGAAGAAGGCCUUCGGGUUGUAAAGUACUUUCAGCGGGGAGGAAGGCGAUGUGGUUAAUAACCUUGUCGAUUGACGUUACCCGCAGAAGAAGCACCGGCUAACUCCGUGCCAGCAGCCGCAGUAA
rnacentral:rRNA from 1 species